rnacentral:rRNA from 1 species
GUCGAGCGGUAAGGCCUUUCGGGGUACACGAGCGGCGAACGGGUGAGUAACACGUGGGUGAUCUGCCCUGCACUUCGGGAUAAGCCUGGGAAACUGGGUCUAAUACCGGAUAUGACCUCCUAUCGCAUGGUGGGUGGUGGAAAGAUUUAUCGGUGCAGGAUGGGCCCGCGGCCUAUCAGCUUGUUGGUGGGGUAAUGGCCUACCAAGGCGACGACGGGUAGCCGACCUGAGAGGGUGACCGGCCACACUGGGACUGAGACACGGCCCAGACUCCUACGGGAGGCAGCAGUGGGGAAUAUUGCACAAUGGGCGAAAGCCUGAUGCAGCGACGCCGCGUGAGGGAUGACGGCCUUCGGGUUGUAAACCUCUUUCAGCAGGGACGAAGCGCAAGUGACGGUACCUGCAGAAGAAGCACCGGCUAACUACGUGCCAGCAGCCGCGGUAAUACGUAGGGUGCAAGCGUUGUCCGGAAUUACUGGGCGUAAAGAGUUCGUAGGCGGUUUGUCGCGUCGUUUGUGAAAACCAGCAGCUCAACUGCUGGCUUGCAGGCGAUACGGGCAGACUUGAGUACUGCAGGGGAGACUGGAAUUCCUGGUGUAGCGGUGAAAUGCGCAGAUAUCAGGAGGAAC